CAUGCAUCUCUUCUAUCAAGCAAUACAACAUCAGUAGAGGUUCACGAGAAGAGAGGAUUAGUCAGAUGGAAAUAUGACUUGGGAAGGAAAAAGAAUUUUGAACAGGUAUUUGGCACGAAGAAAAGCUUAUGGUUCUUCCCAUUGUUCUCGGAUGAUGAUUUAGACAACAUAUCAGCACUUCACGGUCUCGAAUUUCCAACACUUUCAGAUGUUGAGGCAUGAGCUUUUAAUGAGAGGACAUAUGA